AGCAGUCGCCGCGGUAACACGAAGGGGGCUAGCGUUGUUCGGAAUUACUGGGCGUAAAGCGCACGUAGGCGGAUAUUUAAGUCAGGGGUGAAAUCCCAGAGCUCAACUCUGGAACUGCCUUUGAUACUGGGUAUCUUGAGUAUGGAAGAGGCGAGUGGAAUUCCGAGUGUAGAGGUGAAAUUCGUAGAUAUUCGGAGGAACACCAGUGGCGAAGGCGGCUCACUGAUCCAUUACUGACGCUGAGGUGCGAAAGCGUGGGGAGCAAAUAGGAUUAGAUACCCGGGUAGUCCCUGUCUCUUAUAC
rnacentral:rRNA from 1 species